AAUAUUAACCCUAAAAGUUACAUUAUACAGCGUAAGUACUUAGAUAUUGUUAUAUAUAUAGGAGUGCCACCACCAUCUUUAAGCAUUUUCUGUUAAUAAAAAGACUAAUUAUUAUUGAUAGUAGUGCGAUACUGUUCACUCUCUGCCAGAUAUAGCAAGAGAGGACAGCCACAGUAGUUUUUGACAACUAUUACUUCACUCUCUCUCUCUCUAUCUUUCUCUCUCUACUGGUCAAAAAAACAAAAACCCACCUCUCUCAUCUCCUUCUUUUUCUCUCUUCUUCAACCUAAGCCUCAUGACAUAUGAGAGAGGACGCCCUAGCUACCUCAUCAUCUCCCUUUAACAAUAUAUAUAUACCUUUUUCCAUGUUAUCCUAAUUCCAAAUUCAACCACAACAGCACAUAUUAUCUUUAUGUAUAUAUAUAUGCAUAUGUAUGUGUUAGCUUGUGGCUUCAUUUCUCCUUCUUCUUCCUUCCUUUAUUAUCUUAUGGAAGAAGAUGAGGAAGAAUACAUAGUUCUUCCUAGUCUUUUUUUUUUCUUUUUUUCUUUUUUAUUAAAAGUAAUUUAAUGUUUAAGUAUUUAUUUUUUUACCAGAUUUGUGUUUGAGAUCAGAGAUCUCCAAUCGCUUUCCCUUCUCUAACUCUCACGAAGAUAGUGACACUUCCCCCCCUGCUUUUACUGAUACCAUCUAAUUCCUCUCUCCGUGAUUUUUGUAACUUCAUCUUUUUUAUUUUAUUUUAUUUUCUUGCCUAUAUUUCUUUUUUAUUAAUUACAUAUUUGUUGUAUAUAAAUAUUAAUUGAUGGAAUAAUUAUUAUUUUAUUAAUUUUCCAUUAUGAAACAAAAAUGAAUCUUCUUACAGCAUUUGGUGUUGUUCAUAUUUUCUUAAUAUUUUUUUUUGCUAAUUAAUUUUAGUUGAACAAAUCAGAUUAGGUCAUGUGAAGAGGCAAAGGAAUAUAUAUGAUCUGUGGAUCAGGUGCUGGAGUAAGUAUUCUUCUAGUCAAUUUGGUAUUUUUCUUUUGAUAUUUUAGCUAUAAUUAUUACAUCUACAUCUGAUUAAUGACAUUUUUCUAGGGUUAGGGUUCAUGCAAAGCAUUAAUCGUUGCUUUGGAACUUGAUUAAUCUUUUCAAGUCUUGGACUGCGGGAAUUAGGUCUAGCUAGCUAGGCUGCAAGCUAGGGUAUAAUAACUUAAUUUAUACUAGUAAUUAAUAAUUAAUAAUAAUAUUUUCUCAAACCCCUUAUCUUCUGGAAUUUGAUUUGGUAUAUUAAUGUGUAAGAGAGAAUUAAUUAAGACCGUACAACACAUUGUCGUACUUGAAAUUAAGCUAGAUUUUCAUCUAUUGUUUUCUUGACAUUAACCAUUCAUUAGAAUACUAUAUAGUUAAUUCUUGUGUAGUAGUUGUAGUAGUACUUUUUGUAAUUUGUGUCUAUAAAUUAAUAUCCCCUUUUAAUUAACAAAAUUUAUUUUAAUAUAUAUAGAUAGAGAGAUUGUUUAAGUGAGCUUCCUUCAGUCCACUCAUGGAUGGGUAAGAGGGUUUGAAUUAUCUGCCGACUCAUUCAUUCAAACACAGUAGAAAAAGGGUCUAAUAUUUACUACUGUGGAUGUGUGAAUGAUGCGGGAGAUAAAAUUUCAUCCUUUUCUUCUCUAUGCUUGGACUGAAGGGAGCUCCCUUUUGCUAUUUUCAUCACUUAUUAUGAAUAUAUAUGUUGUAUAUUCUUCUUUUCUUUCUGGUGAUUCAUACAAUGUGUUUUGUGAUAAUGUUAACGGUAAUGUGUGCUUUGUUUUCCGGUUAGUUCUAUUAAUAAUAUUAGUGAUUAUGUGUGUAACUUGUAAGGCUUUGCAAUAGAUAUUAUUCUCUACUUCUUCACGUACGUACUAGGUUUCAAUUAUUGAUGAUCUUAUACUGUAUUUCACUAGUACGAGUUCAUUUCACUUGCCUGCCGGUUUUUCUUUUCCAAUAUAAGAAAUGUUAUAUUAGAGGUCAUUUCAUUUUGAAGCUACAGUACUACUCGAUACAGUGUGUAUAUAUAUGAUCAAUAAUUGCUAUAGAGAAAAGUCAUGACAGGUUUUUUUUUUCUUUCUCAUUUUACUGUGAAAUUGUUUUGUAGGGAAAACAAAAAACACACGAAAUUUUUCAUUCAUUUCUUUCUUUCACCAGAUCAAUUUUGUUUCUAGUUGAAAAGUCAAAAGAGUUUUACAUUUUUUACCCUUCCCAGCUGGCCAAACGUUUUUUUUCACUAAAUAUCUGCGUCACGGAGAGAAAAGUACUUGUCAUGAUCAUCGUAUUUACGUAUUAAUUUCUUUACGAAAAUAGCAUUGUUUUUCCUCUUUCUCUCUCUUUUUUUUUUCAUCUUGGGUUAUUAUAAUUGUGAUUUAGUAUGAUUAAGAAUAUUAAGUGAAGAGUCCUAUUAUAUUUUACGUACUCAAUUUCUUUGUACAUACUAUUUAUAUUUAUUUAAUGUGAUGCAAAGAACUUAGAUGUUAGGUUACGUCGCUUUCAAUAUAGUUGAUAAAAAUUAUUCUGAGAAGAGCUUAUGAUGAUGAAUCUGAUCAGUAGUUGAUGGCCAAUUUUUAGAGAGAAAAAUUGGAGGGUGCUGGUUGGUUUGCUUGUCAUUAUUCUUUUGGCCAGGUUUCUGUAGUGGCAUAUUUAUAUAUAUAUUAACAUUGUUUAAUUAAAUGUAUGGUUAAUAGUAGUUUAUAGCCCGUGCAAUUUGGUAUCAUAAAGACCGCCCCAUGUCCAUGUCUAGUGGGGCUAAAACGCAGUCUCAGAGGUUGGAACUUGGAGCUAGCCUCAUGGUUUUAUUGGCUUUCACGACACCACCUUUACCUAUUAUAUAUUAUUUUUAUAAUGUAAUAUUAUAAUUAAUACCCUUAAUAUACUAUUUUCAAUUUUCACUCAUUUGAAGAAGAAGAAGAAGAAGAAGAAGAAGAAUAACCUUUUCCACACUGUAUCUAAGAGUUAUUUAAAUAUGUUAUCUUAUACACUCUAAAAACUUGAAAUCGACAUAAUAAUAACGACUACUGCUUGUGUUGACUGUCCCA